rnacentral:rRNA from 1 species
ACGAACGCUGGCGGCGUGCCUAAUACAUGCAAGUCGAGCGGAAUGAUGAAGAAGCUUGCUUCUUCUGAUUUUAGCGGCGGACGGGUGAGUAACACGUGGGCAACCUACCUUGUAGAUUGGGAUAACUCCGGGAAACCGGGGCUAAUACCGAAUAAUCCAUUUUGCUUCAUGGCGAGAUGUUGAAAGACGGUUUCGGCUGUCACUAUAAGAUGAGCCCGCGGCGCAUUAGCUAGUUGGUAGGGUAAUGGCCUACCAAGGCGACGAUGCGUAGCCGACCUGAGAGGGUGAUCGGCCACACUGGGACUGAGACACGGCCCAGACUCCUACGGGAGGCAGCAGUAGGGAAUCUUCCACAAUGGACGAAAGUCUGAUGGAGCAACGCCGCGUGAGUGAAGAAGGUUUUCGGAUCGUAAAACUCUGUUGUAAGGGAAGAACACGUACGAGAGUAACUGCUCGUACCUUGACGGUACCUUAUUAGAAAGCCACGGCUAACUACGUG